rnacentral:rRNA from 1 species
UACGAAGGGGGCUAGCGUUGCUCGGAAUCACUGGGCGUAAAGCGUGCGCAGGCGGUUCGUUGUGUCGGUGGUGAAAUCCCCGGGCUUAACCUGGGAAUGGCCAUGGAAACUGGCGAACUGGAGUGCGGCAGAGGGGGGUGGAAUUCCGCGUGUAGCAGUGAAAUGCGUAGAGAUGCGGAGGAACACCGAUGGCGAAGGCAGCCCCCUGGGCUAGCACUGACGCUCAGGCACGAAAGCGUGGGGAGCAAACAGG